rnacentral:rRNA from 1 species
GUUGGGUAGGGGAGCGUUCUGUAAGCCUGUGAAGGUGGCCUGUGAGGGUUGCUGGAGGUAUCAGAAGUGCGAAUGCUGACAUAAGUAACGAUAAAGCGGGUGAAAAGCCCGCUCGCCGGAAGACCAAGGGUUCCUGUCCAACGUUAAUCGGGGCAGGGUGAGUCGACCCCUAAGGCGAGGCCGAAAGGCGUAGUCGAUGGGAAACGGGUUAAUAUUCCCGUACUUGGUGUUACUGCGAAGGGGGGACGGAGAAGGCUAUGUUGGCCGGGCGACGGUUGUCCCGGUUUAAGCGUGUAGGCUGGUUUUCCAGGCAAAUCCGGAAAAUCAAGGCUGAGGCGUGACGACGAGGCACUACGGUGCUGAAGCAACAAAUGCCCUGCUUCCAGGAAAAGCCUCUAAGCAUCAGGUAACAUCAAAUCGUACCCCAAACCGACACAGGUGGUCAGGUAGAGAAUACCAAGGCGCUUGAGAGAACUCGGGUGAAGGAACUAGGCAAAAUGGUGCCGUAACUUCGGGAGAAGGCACGCUGACACGUAGGUGAAGUGAUUUACUCAUGGAGCUGAAGUCAGUCGAAGAUACCAGCUGGCUGCAACUGUUUAUUAAAAACACAGCACUGUGCAAACACGAAAGUGGACGUAUACGGUGUGACGCCUGCCCGGUGCCGGAAGGUUAAUUGAUGGGGUCAGCGCAAGCGAAGCUCCUGAUCGAAGCCCCGGUAAACGGCGGCCGUAACUAUAACGGUCCUAAGGUAGCGAAAUUCCUUGUCGGGUAAGUUCCGACCUGCACGAAUGGCGUAAUGAUGGCCAGGCUGUCUCCACCCGAGACUCAGUGAAAUUGAACUCGCUGUGAAGAUGCAGUGUACCCGCGGCAAGACGGAAAGACCCCGUGAACCUUUACUAUAGCUUGACACUGAACAUUGAGCCUUGAUGUGUAGGAUAGGUGGGAGGCUUUGAAGUGUGGACGCCAGUCUGCAUGGAGCCGACCUUGAAAUACCACCCUUUAAUGUUUGAUGUUCUAACGUGGACCCGUAAUCCGGGUUGCGGACAGUGUCUGGUGGGUAGUUUGACUGGGGCGGUCUCCUCCUAAAGAGUAACGGAGGAGCACGAAGGUUGGCUAAUCCUGGUCGGACAUCAGGAGGUUAGUGCAAUGGCAUAAGCCAGCUUGACUGCGAGCGUGACGGCGCGAGCAGGUGCGAAAGCAGGUCAUAGUGAUCCGGUGGUUCUGAAUGGAAGGGCCAUCGCUCAACGGAUAAAAGGUACUCCGGGGAUAACAGGCUGAUACCGCCCAAGAGUUCAUAUCGACGGCGGUGUUUGGCACCUCGAUGUCGGCUCAUCACAUCCUGGGGCUGAAGUAGGUCCCAAGGGUAUGGCUGUUCGCCAUUUAAAGUGGUACGCGAGCUGGGUUUAGAACGUCGUGAGACAGUUCGGUCCCUAUCUGCCGUGGGCGCUGGAGAACUGAGGGGGGCUGCUCCUAGUACGAGAGGACCGGAGUGGACGCAUCACUGGUGUUCGGGUUGUCAUGCCAAUGGCACUGCCCGGUAGCUAAAUGCGGAAGAGAUAAGUGCUGAAAGCAUCUAAGCACGAAACUUGCCCCGAGAUGAGUUCUCCCUGAGACUUAGAGCUGUCU